rnacentral:misc_RNA from 1 species
GUUCGAGGAGCUCAUGAAGGACAGGGGUUGGGCAAUAGUUUCUUAUCGCACAUCCGUGCUGUUGAUGGCAUUUUCCAUGUUUUACGUGCAUUUGAGGAUGCAGAUAUUAUCCAUGUUGACGAUACAGUGGAUCCUGUUAGGGAUUUAGAGGUUAUCAGCGAAGAACUACGUUUGAAGGAUAUUGAAUUUAUGAAAAAUAAAAU